rnacentral:rRNA from 1 species
UACGGAGGGUGCAAGCGUUAUCCGGAAUGAUUGGGCGUAAAGCGUCCGCAGGGGGCUAUGUAAGUCUGCUGUUAAAGAGUGAGGCUCAACCUCAUGAGAGCAGUGGAAACUACAUGGCUAGAGUGCGUUCGGGGCAGAGGGAAUUCCUGGUGUAGCGGUGAAAUGCGUAGAGAUCAGGAAGAACACCGGUGGCGAAAGCGCUCUGCUAGGCCGCAACUGACACUGAGGGACGAAAGCUAGGGGAGCGAAUGGG